rnacentral:rRNA from 1 species
UACGUAGGGGGCAAGCGUUGUCCGGAAUCAUUGGGCGUAAGCGCGUGUAGGCGGCCCAGUAAGUCCGCUCUGAAAGCCCGGGGCUUAACCCCGGGAGGCGGGUGGAUACUGCUGGGCUCGAGUCCGGAAGAGGCGAGUGGAAUUCCCGGUGUAGCGGUGAAAUGCGCAGAUAUCGGGAGGAACACCAAUGGCGAAGGCAGCUCGCUGGGACGUGACUGACGCUGAGACGCGAAAGCGUGGGGAGCAACAGG